GUAGUCAUAUGCUUGUCUCAAAGAUUAAGCCAUGCAUGUCUAAGUAUAAGCAAUUACAAAGCGAAACUGCGAAUGGCUCAUUAUAUAAGUUAUCGUUUAUUUGAUAGUACCUUACUACAUGGAUAACCGUGGUAAUUCUAGAGCUAAUACAUGCUGAAAAUCCCGACUUCGGAAGGGAUGUAUUUAUUAGAUACAAAACCAAUGCCCUUCGGGGCUCUCCUGGUGAUUCAUGAUAACUUCUCGAAUCGCACGGCCCCGCGCCGGCGAUGGUUCAUUCAAAUUUCUUCCCUAUCAACUUUCGAUGCUACGGUAUUGUCCUAGCAUGGUUGCAACGGGUGACGGAGGGUUAGGGCUCGACCCCGGAGAAGGAGCCUGAGAAACGGCUACUACAUCCAAGGAAGGCAGCAGGCGCGCAAAUUACCCAAUCCCGACUCGGGGAGGUAGUGACGAUAAAUACCGAUACAGGGCUCUUUUGGGUCCUGUAAUUGGAAUGAGUACAAUUCAAAUCCCUUAACGAGGAACAAUUGGAGGGCAAGUCUGGUGCCAGCAGCCGCGGUAAUUCCAG
rnacentral:rRNA from 1 species